rnacentral:lncRNA from 1 species
CUUAGAAGUGAUAUAAGGGAGAUAAUAUUAUCAGUAGCCAGACUUUAUUAAAAAAAUCAGCUCUACCUCAAAGGAUUUCUGAUGCACUGGUUAAAAACACAGCAGCCAAUAAUUCAGUUAAUUUACCAAGUGAUUUACCCUUCAAAGCUACAGGGGUAGCUUUCCUGAAGAGUGCAAAAACUUCUUUAGCUUUCAAAAUGGUAUAUAGUACAAACAGUGAAGCUAAUAUAGACACAUCUGAUCAUUCAUCAUCAACAAUAACUGCAUCUGAGAAUUAUAGUUCUACAGUAACCGUGGAGUCUAGGUCAACAAUUACUAUUUCUCAUCCAAGCCGUUUUUGUUUAACUGCUACACAUUCCCUGACUCUGCCAAGGAAAAGGGUAAAAUCAAAAUGAUAUCCUGAGGACCUG